CCCCAUACGAUCCAAUGACGACGGUCAUUGGAUGAAAGGGGCGUUUCGCCUCGCCGAGGGAUGAGCCCGCGGCCCAUCAGGUAGUUGGUGGGGUAAUGGCCCACCAAGCCUACGACGGGUAGCUGGCCUGAGAGGGUGGUCGGCCACAAGGGCACUGAGACACGGGCCCUACUCCUACGGGAGGCAGCAGUGGGGAAUCUUGGACAAUGGGCGAAAGCCUGAUCCAGCGACGCCGCGUGGGGGACGAAGCCCUUCGGGGUGUAAACCCCUGUUGCGAGGGAGGAAUAAGACCUGGAGGAAAUGCCAGGUCGAUGACUGUACCUCGCGAGAAAGCCCCGGCUAACUACGUGCCAGCAGCCGCGGUAAUACGUAGGGGGCGAGCGUUACCCGGAUUCACUGGGCGUAAAGGGGGUGUAGGCGGCUCGGUAAGUCGGGUGUGAAAUCCCACGGCUCAACCGUGGAAUUGCGCCCGAAACUGCCGAGCUUGGGGCCGGUAGAGGGAGACGGAACUGCCGGUGUAGGGGUGAAAUCCGUAGAUAUCGGCAGGAACGCCGGUGGGGAAGCCGGUCUCCUGGGCCGCGCCCGACGCUGAGGCCCGAAAGCUAGGGGAGCAAACCGGAUUAGAUACCCGGGUAGUCCUAGCCGUAAACGAUGCCCACUAGGUGUGGGGGAGUAUUUCCUCCGUGCUGUAGCUAACGCGUUAAGUGGGCCGCCUGGGGAGUACGCCCGCAAGGGUGAAACUCAAAGGAAUUGGCGGGACCCCGCACAAGCGGUGGAGCGCGUGGUUUAAUUGGAUGCUGAGCCAAGAACCUUACCAGGGCUUGACAUGCAGGUGGUACCGACCCGAAAGGGGAGGGACCCCAUCCUUUUGGGUGGGGAGCCUGCACAGGUGGUGCACGGCCGUCGUCAGCUCGUGCCGUGAGGUGUUGGGUUAAGUCCCGCAACGAGCGCAACCCCUGCCCUUAGUUGCCAUCGGUUCGGCCGGGCACUCUAAGGGGACUGCCGGCGACGAGCCGGAGGAAGGAGGGGACGACGUCAGGUACUCGUGCCCUUUAUGCCCUGGGCUACACACGCGCUACAAUGGGUGGUACAGUGGGUUGCGACCCCGCGAGGGGGAGCCAAUCCCUAAAACCACCCCCAGUUCGGAUCGCAGGCUGCAACCCGCCUGCGUGAAGCCGGAAUCGCUAGUAAUCGCGGAUC
rnacentral:rRNA from 1 species